CAUUUUUCUCUUGACACACAGAAUUUCUAAUUACCAAGUACUAUUCAGCUGAUGAGUACAGCUGUUCUUUUUAGAGAUGGAGAGGGCUUUUAUUAACUUUUUAAAAAAAUAUAAUUUUGCUAAAAUUCCUAUAGUGUUCAGCCUAUUCCACUGGCCUCUUGUUCUGUAAGCCUCACCCAGCACUGAAGCAAGACCUGGGAAAAUCUAGUCCUGAGACUGAUGGUUAAUUGUGCUAAUCCUAUUUUUCAGAUAUGGAGCCAAGGGAACUUCUUUUGCUGAGGCUGUAAUUCGCCAUGAGGGAGAGACUAUCCAAGUAAACAUAAGGAAGAAUCAAAAUUGGAUCAUGUUGAUGCACAAUGUUGGGACAUUGUGGAGUUGUUUCAUCAGUGUUAAAAUUCCGCUACUUUUCCUUGAAGAUGGAGAGAUGGAAGCACAGGAAAAUAAACAAUUCUGAUGGUGAUUCUGCCUGCCUCAAGCCUUUCCUCAUUCUAAAUCCAUCCUCAGUUCAGUUACUAAGGCUCUGUACCCAUUGGUUUGCCGAUGGAAGUGUCAGAAGUCUGAACCACAUCUAUUAAUUUUCUGGAGGACAAAGUUGUCCAGUGAUUUCCAAAAUGCCACAACCAGAAAGGAAGGAAAGCUUUAAAGUCAUGAUGAAUGUUACAGUUCCCCUGGAUGUUUCAGUUCCUCAGCCCAUCACUGUCUCUGGAGAGCAUACAGGGAAGCUAUGUGGCACAGUGGAAAGAAUGCCAGACCUGAAAUCAAGAGGAUCUGAGUUCAAGUCAGGUCUCAGAUACUUACCAGCUGUGUGACACUGGGCAAGUCACUUCACCCUGUUUGCCUCAGUUUAUUCGUCUGGAAAGUGAGCUGGAGAAGGAAAUGGCAGACCAUUCCAGUAUCUUUACCAAAAAAAAAAAAUCCACAAAAACAACAAAACCCAAAUAGGGUCAUGAAGAAUCAAAUACAACUAAUUGACUAAACAACUGGAGAGCUUAACUUAAAUAGGAUUGGGAAAUAGUUUGGAGGGAGGAGAAAGUUCACCUGUCAUGUAUGGUGAAGAUCACUAACAACACCACCACCACUUCUCUCCCACCCUAACUCCACAGAUAAAUGCAAACCGAAUACAGAUAAAACUAGGAGAAUUGGAUAUAAAUACCUCCUGAAGUCAUACUGUGUGUAUGAUACUUUAGAUAUGUUUAGAUACUUUAGUCAUUUCAGAUCCUACAUCUCCCUGUCAAGGAGCUUUCCAGGACUGACUUUUAGGGUAUGUUCUUGUCUUUCUUGGUCUGAAGCCAUGGGUUAAAGUAACUUGAAGGUUGACCUUAAAUGACCUUGGGAUGACCAGAAAAGGGGGAGUUUUAAUAGAGAACUGAUCAGAUUAAGCAGAUGACGUCAUUUCAGUAUCUCUCAGCUGUUUUAUUCUAAUGUCCAAGUUUUAUUAGCUUGGCUAGACCCAAGGCUAUGAUCUGAACACAUUCAUUCAGUUAAUGCCAAGAAUUUAUGGAGUGCUUAAUGUGUGCUCAGACUUGUGCUGGAACUGUGGGGGAAAUAGAGAAAUAAUAAGAUACAGUUCCUUGCACUCAGGGAGAUUAUAGCCUCCAUGGGAAUCCAAGACAAUGCUACCUAAACCAGUGAGAUAACAAUACAUCUAAGACAUUGUCGGUCUUGACUUCUCUAUACCUUCUCCCGUCUAGCCAUCAU
ensembl:lncRNA